rnacentral:rRNA from 1 species
CCUACGGUGGGCAGCAGUGGUGAAUAUUGGACAAUGGGCGAAAGCCUGAUCCAGCCAUGCCGCGUGUGUGAAGAAGGCCUUCGGGUUGUAAAGCACUUUCAGUGGGGAAGAAAGCCUUGGGGCUAAUACCCUCGAGGAAGGACAUCACCCACAGAAGAAGCACCGGCUAACUCCGUGCCAGCAGCCGCGGUAAUACGGAGGGUGCGAGCGUUAAUCGGAAUUACUGGGCGUAAAGCGCGCGUAGGCGGUCUGAUAAGCCGGUUGUGAAAGCCCCGGGCUCAACCUGGGAACGGCAUCCGGAACUGUCAGGCUAGAGUGCAGGAGAGGAAGGUAGAAUUCCCGGUGUAGCGGUGAAAUGCGUAGAGAUCGGGAGGAAUACCAGUGGCGAAGGCGGCCUUCUGGACUGACACUGACGCUGAGGUGCGAAAGCGUGGGUAGCAAACAGGAUUAGAUACCCGUGUAGUC